rnacentral:rRNA from 1 species
AUUGAACGCUGGCGGCAGGCCUAACACAUGCCAGUCGAGCGGAUGAAGGGAGCUUGCUCCUGGAUUCAGCGGCGGACGGGUGAGUAAUGCCUAGGAAUCUGCCUGGUAGUGGGGGAUAACGUCCGGAAACGGGCGCUAAUACCGCAUACGUCCUGAGGGAGAAAGUGGGGGAUCUUCGGACCUCACGCUAUCAGAUGAGCCUAGGUCGGAUUAGCUAGUUGGUGGGGUAAAGGCCUACCAAGGCGACGAUCCGUAACUGGUCUGAGAGGAUGAUCAGUCACACUGGAACUGAGACACGGUCCAGACUCCUACGGGAGGCAGCAGUGGGGAAUAUUGGACAAUGGGCGAAAGCCUGAUCCAGCCAUGCCGCGUGUGUGAAGAAGGUCUUCGGAUUGUAAAGCACUUUAAGUUGGGAGGAAGGGCAGUAAGUUAAUACCGUGCUGUUUUGACGGUACCAACAGAAUAAGCACCGGCUAACUUCGUG